CUAUCUUUCCAUCAGCCAAUCCACUCCACAGCCUCUGGAGACCACCUCACACAGAAGCAGAGGCCCCUUCUUCCCCGCUGCUCGAUCCUCCAUAGAUGGGCUCCCUGCGAAGCAGCACGAGCGCGGCGGUGGAGAGCGUGGACGCGGAGGCGGCGUGUGGGCUGCUGGCCUCGGAGCAGUACGGGUACGUGGACGUGCGGAUGUGGGAGGACUUCGAAAAGGGCCAUGUCGCCGGUGCACGCAACGUGCCCUACUACCUCUCCGUCACACCCCAUGGCAAGGAGCGCAACCCGGACUUCGUCGACCAGGUUGCGGCGCUCCACUCCAAGGAGGACCGGUUCCUUGUUGGCUGCCGCUCUGGGGUCCGGUCCAGGCUCGCCACCGCAGACCUCGUCGCUGCUGGGUUCGCGAACGUGAAGAACCUGCAAGGCGGUUACCUCUCCUUGCUCAAGAGUACCAGUUACCCGCAGCCGCAAGCAGCAAGCCACCAAUGAUCAAUCAAUUGAUUCUUUGGAGUUUGGAAAGUUUGUUAGUGACCUGUUUGUGUGCUAUGUAUCUAUCAUCCUUGGUCUUAACAAGAGGAAGCAAGUCCUUCAGGCAGCUGGGAUUGAAUUAAUUUCAAAGGGAAAACAAAGCAUUAUGUAUGCAGGUAUCACGAAGCCGUCUCAUGAAUCAAACGGGGCGUUGGCAGAAAUAAGAAAGGAAAAGAGAGAGGCUAAUUUGUGGGCUAUACUAAAAAGGAAGGAAAUUAAACGAGACGUGGAAGGAAUAAGGAAGAAAAAUAGAGAGGCAAACUUGUGGGCUUACUAAUAAGGAAGGAAAUCAAAGAGAUGGUGAGAAAAAUAAGAAACGAAAGGGAAAGGCUAAUAUAUGGACUAAAUUAAUAAGGAAGAGGCUAUAUAUGUUGUGUGGACGAGACUUGCCUGCUCCCCGCACGUGCGCCCAUCCGUGCUCCCGCGUACGUGGCUUGAUUUGAUUGGAACAAAAUAAGACCCGGCCCCAUCCCCUUAAAAUCAGGGGGAGAUCAUGUGAAGUGCGUGUCUGCCUUGUUCACUCGCGGUUACCCGCAUCUCCUUAGCCGCAUCCAUCACUUUCUCAUCUCGACAUAGUGUCUCCCUCUCCCCAUUCGUGUUGGCCUUAUCUACUUCUUCUUCUACAAGCAAAAAAUAUGUUUCUUCCUAUUCAGUUCUUCAAUGCAGAUGUAUGGUGCACAUAUAAAUACAUCGCUACGAUGAGGUAUAGACUUUUCCAUAAGAUGGACCAACCUCCUAAAUAAUUUUAAGGUUAUUAAUGCAUGGCAUUAACAUGUGGCCACGUGGAAUCGAGGUUAAUUAAUUACUCCCACCAUCACACAAUACAGUUGUGCAUUGUUUUCUAAGGGCAACUCCAAUUACCCGCAUCAAGCCAGACACAUCAAACAUCCGUGGACAC